rnacentral:rRNA from 1 species
GAUUGAACGCUGGCGGCAUGCCUUACACAUGCAAGUCGAACGGCAGCACGGAGCUUGCUCUGGUGGCGAGUGGCGAACGGGCGAGUAAUAUAUCGGAACGUACCCUAGAGUGGGGGAUAACGUAGCGAAAGUUACGCUAAUACCGCAUACGAUCUUAGGAUGAAAGUGGGGGAUCGCAAGACCUCAUGCUCGUGGAGCGGCCGAUAUCUGAUUAGCUAGUUGGUAGGGUAAAAGCCUACCAAGGCAUCGAUCAGUAGCUGGUCUGAGAGGACGACCAGCCACACUGGAACUGAGACACGGUCCAGACUCCUACGGGAGGCAGCAGUGGGGAAUUUUGGACAAUGGGCGAAAGCCUGAUCCAGCAAUGCCGCGUGAGUGAAGAAGGCCUUCGGGUUGUAAAGCUCUUUUGUCAGGGAAGAAACGGUGAGAGCUAAUAUCUUUUGCUAAUGACGGUACCUGAAGAAUAAGCACCGGCUAACUACGUGCCAGCAGCCGCGGUAAUACGUAGGGCGCAAGCGUUAAUCGGAAUUACUGGGCGUAAAGCGUGCGCAGGCGGUUUUGUAAGUCUGAUGUGAAAUCCCCGGGCUCAACCUGGGAAUUGCAUUGGAGACUGCACGGCAAGAAUCUGGCAGAGGGGGGUAGAAUUCCACGUGUAGCAGCGAAAUGCGUAGAUAUGUGGAGGGAACACCGAUGGCGAAGGCAGCCCCCUGGGUCAAGAUUGACGCUCAUGCACGAAAGCGUGGGGAGCAAACAGGAUUAGAUACCCUGGUAGUCCACGCCCUAAACGAUGUCUACUAGUUGUCGGGUCUUAAUUGACUUGGUAACGCAGCUAACGCGUGAAGUAGACCGCCUGGGGAGUACGGUCGCAAGAUUAAAACUCAAAGGAAUUGACGGGGACCCGCACAAGCGGUGGAUGAUGUGGAUUAAUUCGAUGCAACGCGAAAAACCUUACCUACCCGUGACAUGGCUGGAAUCCUCGAGAGAUUGAGGAGUGCUCGAAAGAGAACCAGUACACAGGUGCUGCAUGGCUGUCGUCAGCUCGUGUCGUGAGAUGUUGGGUUAAGUCCCGCAACGAGCGCAACCCUUGUCAUUAGUUGCUACGAAAGGGCACUCUAAUGAGACUGCCGGUGACAAACCGGAGGAAGGUGGGGAUGACGUCAAGUCCUCAUGGCCCUUAUGGGUAGGGCUUCACACGUCAUACAAUGGUACAUACAGAGCGCCGCCAACCCGCGAGGGGGAGCUAAUCGCAGAAAGUGUAUCGUAGUCCGGAUUGUAGUCUGCAACUCGACUGCAUGAAGUUGGAAUCGCUAGUAAUCGCGGAUCAGCAUGUCGCGGUGAAUACGUUCCCGGGUCUUG